rnacentral:rRNA from 1 species
AUACGGGGGGUGCGAGCGUUAAUCGGAAUUACUGGGCGUAAAGCGUGCGUAGGCGGUUUGGUCAGUCAGCCGUGAAAGCCCCGGGCCUAACCUGGGAACGGCGGUUGAGACGGUCAGACUCGAGUGGGCUAGAGGAUUGUGGAAUUCCGGGUGUAGCGGUGAAAUGCGUAGAGAUCCGGAGGAACACCGAUGGCGAAGGCAGCAAUCUGGGGCCACACUGACGCUGAGGCACGAAAGCGUGGGGAGCAAACAGGAUUAGAUACCCUGGUAGUCCACGCGGUAAACGAUGAACACUAGACGUUGGGCGGGUGACCGUCCGGUGUCGAAGCUAACGCGCUAAGUGUUCCGCCUGGGGAGUACGGCCGCAAGGUUGAA